GGCAGUUCUCGGGUGACGCUCCCUGGAAUCAGGCUCCGUCCUCUCUGGUUCCAGAUGCAUCACCUGAGAACCGCA
rfam:Myotis brandtii contig137311, whole genome shotgun sequence.